rnacentral:rRNA from 1 species
CGGGAGGCAGCAGUAGGGAAUAUUGGGCAAUGGGCGCAAGCCUGACCCAGCCAUGCCGCGUGCAGGAAGAAGGCGUUAUGCGUUGUAAACUGCUUUUAUACAGGAAGAAACGACCCUUGCGAGGGGCAUUGACGGUAUUGUAUGAAUAAGCACCGGCUAACUCCGUGCCAGCAGCCGCGGUAAUA